UCAUUUCCCCCUCGCAGUUUUGCUUUCCCUCUCUGCAAAAAUCUUUUCGCGCCGUGUUUUCCCCUUCGCGUUCCCGAACCCUAAGCCAUUUUUCUUUCCCUCUCCUCGACAAUAUCUUCACAUCAUGACACCAAAUGGAGCACUUGCGCGAGAUCUACAAGUGCCUCAAAACCGUAGUUGACUUCCUCCUCUAGCCUUUAGAAGCACGACCCCCAAGCCAUGGGAUCCUCCCUUUGACCCGUCGUAGCCCUCUCCCCUGAUCUCCUAUCCUAUCACCGGCCUCGAAGCCCUCACCUCCCACUCAUACCUCCGUUCCUUUCAUUUCCCCUUCAAUCGCGCCUCCAUCCCGGUCCCGUCCUCCUCCUUUCUGAUAUCAAGACCUACGACCUCCUUGACGAGCAAGUCCAUGACCCCUCCGAUGCGAAGCUGGUCGAGGAGUGGCGCAACGCCAUGGAUGCCUGGACAGAACACGUCAUCUCAUUAGCAUCCAGUAAAAUGAUAUUAGCAAGCAAGCCGAGCACCUUGUUACAUUGGUCGUGGCUGUACGUUGUCUAGACAAAUGAAGUGUGGGUCUGUCUUUGCUGGGGGUGAGUUGUGGAGAGUACAACUCUGAUUGUUUCACGACAUCUUAUUCUGUUUGGUUCCAAAAGAUAUUAUCAAUUAUUCAGGUUGGAAACUAUAUUCAUAACAUGACAAUAUUCUUUGGUGGUCUUAUCAUUGGUUUGAUCAAUUGUUGGCAGAUAGCACUUUUAACACUAGCAACUAGUCCUUUCAUUGUUGCAGUAGGAGGAAUAUCUAAUAUUUUUCUCCAUCGGCGAUUUCAUAUAUUAGAACAUUGUAUGCCUUUACAAAUGAUACUCUUGCUAAGUAUUCUUAUGCAACCUCACUUCAAGCUACACUAUGGAAGAUCUGCUACAUCUGAUCAGAUUGAAGAAGCUGUUAAAAUAGCUCAUGCACAUGAUUUCAUAACUUCUCUUGAAAUGGGAUACGAAGCUCAGAUGCACUUCCUUGCAUCAUUUCACGGGUAUGCAGGUUUCAAGUUGUUCUUGUAUAGUAUCAAAUGGACUGCAAGAAGUUCUUGCAAUUCAUUAAAGAGAAGAAGAAGAGAAUUCUGGAUCAGAAAGAGACCCCCUUGAAAUGGAAGCAGAAGCUUAAAGCUGCUGCUAAGGCGAAGGCUGAUGUAGAAGUAAGGGAGACAAAAUUAAAGGCUUCAACAAAGCACAAAAGAAUAUCCUACUCUGAAUCAGACAGUGGCAAUGAAGAUAACAUGUACAACAUAGUUUGAAUCAGACAGUGACAGUGAUCAGCAUAUUUUGGAUUUCGAUUACAUGUACAACUAUUAUUUUUUCAUUUUGAUGUGUGUAGUUAAUUUUCAAAAUUUGAACAUAACAUUUUCAUGGAUUGAAUGUAGUAAAAAUUUAGUUUUGUAUUGGUGGUUUGUUUAUAUUA